CCUAAACUUAUUGCCAAGACACACACAAAAAAAAAAAUGAAGGCUCCUUCAAAACAAGAUAUGAAUUACUCCGGUCAUGUCAAGAAACGGCAAGACGAGAAAGGCUGUUUAUACGCCACGCUUUUCGGGUUGUUCUGUUGCUGUUGCUGCUACGAGAGAUGUGAUUGUUGUUGCUGCGUCUGAUUCUAAUGAUCAUCUGAAAAUGUUAUUUUUAUGUGUCACAUUUGUUUAUCUAAAUCAUAUUUUCCAUUCAA